CAGGGAAUAUUGCACAAUGGGCGAAAGCCUGAUGCAGCGACACCGCGUGCGGGAUGAAGGCCUUCGGGUUGUAAACCGCUUUCAGGAGGGACGAAAAUGACGGUACCUCCAGAAGAAGGCCCGGCUAACUACGUGCCAGCAGCCGCGGUAAUACGUAGGGGCCAAACGUUGUCCGGAUUUAUUGGGCGUAAAGGGCUCGUAGGCGGUUCAACAAGUCGGUCGUGAAAACCCGGGGCUCAACCCCGGGACGCCGGUCGAAACUGUUGUGACUAGGGUCCGGUAGAGGUGAGUGGAAUUCUCGGUGUAGCGGUGGAAUGCGCAGAUAUCGAGAGGAACACCAGUAGCGAAGGCGGCUCACUGGGCCGGUACCGACGCUGAGGAGCGAAAGCAUGGGGAGCAAACAGGAUUAGAUACCCUGGUAGUCCAUGCCGUAAACGAUGAACACUAGGUGUGGCGGAUUCAUUGACAUCUGCCGUGCCGUCGCUAACGCAUUAAGUGCUCCGCCUGGGGAGUACGGCCGCAAGGCUA
rnacentral:rRNA from 1 species